UGUCUCUAGGGCAAAUCUGUCACACCCUGCAGGACUUCUACAGCCACAGUAACUGGGUGGAGCUGGGAAAUAAAGCUCCAUACAGUGCUCUGAUCAGACCUGACCAACCUCUUAAGAACCUGGCAGGACAAAAUACGCCAACUUGCAGAAGUUGUGUAGGAGAGAACUGUACCAACAACAUUCUGCCUGAUGUGCUGAACCAGAGACUUCUGACUUCAGGCUACUUCGGCAUUUUCUUCUCAUCAAAACCCACAGGUAAAUGCAGUCAUGGUGGAUCUGCUGACC